AACGAACGCUGGCGGCAUGCCUAACACAUGCAAGUCGAACGAGACCUUCGGGUCUAGUGGCGCACGGGUGCGUAACGCGUGGGAAUCUGCCCCUUGGUUCGGAAUAACUUCGGGAAACUGAAGCUAAUACCGGAUAAUGACGUAAGUCCAAAGAUUUAUCGCCAAGGGAUGAGCCCGCGUAGGAUUAGCUAGUUGGUGGGGUAAAGGCUCACCAAGGCGACGAUCCUUAGCUGGUCUGAGAGGAUGAUCAGCCACACUGGGACUGAGACACGGCCCAGACUCCUACGGGAGGCAGCAGUGGGGAAUAUUGGACAAUGGGCGAAAGCCUGAUCCAGCAAUGCCGCGUGAGUGAUGAAGGGCCUUAGGGGUUGUAAAAGCUCUUUUACCCGGGAAGAUAAUGACUGUACCGGGAGAAUAAGCCCCGGCUAACUCCGUGCCAGCAGCCGCGGU
rnacentral:rRNA from 1 species